CCUACGGGUGGCAGCAGUGGGGGAUAUUGCACAAUGGGGGGAACCCUGAUCCAGCGACGCCGCGUGAGUGAAGAAGUAUUUCGGUAUGUAAAGCUCUGUCAGCAGGGAAGAAAGAAAUGACGGUACCUGACCAGGAAGUCCCGGCUAACUACGUGCCAGCAGCCGCGGUAAUCCGUAGGGGGCAAGCGUUAACCGGAAUUACUGGGUGUAAAGGGAGCGUAGACGGUAAAGUAAGUCUGGAGUGAAAGCCCGGGGCCCAACCCCGGGACUGCCCUGGAAACUACUGAACUGGAGUGCAGGAGAGGUAAGCGGAAUUCCUAGUGUAGGGGUGAAAUGCGUAGAUAUUAGGAGGAACACCAGUGGCGAAGGCGGCUUACUGGACUGUAACUGACGCUGAGGCUCGAAAGCGUGGGGAGCAAACAGGAUUAGAUACCCGAGUAGUC
rnacentral:rRNA from 1 species